rnacentral:snRNA from 1 species
AGCUUUGCGCCGUGGCAGCAUCGUAGCCACUGCGGUUUAUCCGAGGCGCGAUUACUCCUAAUCGAAAACUUUUCCCGAUACCCCGCCAUGACGACUUGAAAUAUAGUCAGCAUUGGCCAUUUUUGACAGUCUCUACGGAGA